rnacentral:rRNA from 1 species
AUUGAACGCUGGCGGCAGGCCUAACACAUGCAAGUCGAACGAGUGGCGGACGGGUGAGUACUGUCUGGGAAACUGCCCGAUGGAGGGGUAUCACUACUGGAAACGGUAGCUAAUACCGCAUACCAUCGGAUGUGCGCAGAUGGGAUUAGCUAGUGGGUGGGGUAACGGCUCACCUAGGCGACGAUCCCUAGCUGGACUGAGAGGAUGACCAGCCACACUGGAACUGAGACACGGUCCAGACUCCUACGGGAGGCAGCAGUGGGGAAUAUUGCACAAUGGGCGAAAGCCUGAUGCAGCCAUGCCGCGUGUAUGAAGAAGGCUUUCGGGUUGUAAAGUACUUUCAGUGAGGAGGCGUUACUCGCAGAAGAAGCACCGGCUAACUCCGUGCCAGCAGCCGCGGUAAUUC